AAACCGCGCGAGCGCAGCGGUAAGGGCGGAGAUAAUGGCGGCCGCCGAGCUGCUCUUCUGUCGGCGCUCCAGCCCCGGAGAGACGGCGGAGCGCGCGCUGCUCAUCGUGGGCCAGUCGGCGCACCUGCGCAGCUUGAGCUGGGAGGACGUGCGAGACGUGUUGCUGCCACGCGUGGACGAACAGACGUGGCGACGUGCGCUCCGGUGCCUGCAGGCCGACAGGACGGAUGUCUGCCCGCUGUGGUUAAACAUGGUAACGGUGGCCGCCCUGCCGCCCGCGGUGAGUCGCCACAACACGCCAUCCAGCGCGCACGCGCUCGCGCGGCUCGUGGAGACACGGCUCGGUGCCCAGCACAGCGCCCACAUCAUGGUAGUGUGUGAGAAGUCCUCUGUAUUUGCGUCGGCCUGCGCCGUUGCCAGGGCCUUCCCUCUGUUCAGCCGCAAGUCCGAGCGCAGCUCGAGCAGAGAGGACCGCAGGGUCACGGUCGAGUUCUUCUGCGUGGAGCCGCGGGGGGAGCGGCUCAGUAACUCGGCUCUUGAGUGCUUGUCCCGCGCGGCGCAGAGCGUCCGGCUGGCGGCUCGAAUCGUCGACUCUCCGUGCAGCGACAUGGACACCGAACGCUUCCUCCAGGAGGUGCGGGCGGUGGCCGCGGAGCUCCGAAUCUCUCCCGUGAUCAUCCGCGGCGAAGAGCUGCGCAAGAAGGGAUUCGGAGGCAUCUACGGCGUUGGGAAGGGGGCAACGAGCCGCCCCGCGCUGGCUGUCCUCAGCCACACGCCCCCUGCGGCCACCCAGACCAUCGCCUGGGUGGGCAAAGGCGUCGUGUAUGACACGGGGGGGCUCAUCCUCAAGGGCAAAACUCAGCUUCCGGGUAUGAAGAGGGACUGCGCAGGGGCUGCGGCUGUCCUUGGGGCCUUCAGCGCAGCGGUCAAACAGGGUUUCAAAGAGAACCUUCAUGCCAUCCUCUGCUUAGCGGAGAACUGCACUGGGCCCAGAGCAACGAGGCCAGACGAUAUCCAUCGGCUCUACUCAGGAAAAACGGUGGAAAUCCGGAACACGGACGCGGAGGGGCGCCUACUACUGGCGGACGGCGCAGCGUACGCCCUCAGGGAUCUGAAAGCAGACGUCAUCUUGGACAUGGCCACCCUCACGGGUGCUCAGGGCGUGGCCACGGGCCGGUACCACGGCGCCCUGCUGACCAACGACGAGGACUGGGAGAAGGCGUGCGUGGCAGCGGGGCGCAGCAGCGGCGACCUCGUUCAGCCGCUCGUCUACACGCCCGAGCUACACUUCAGACCGCAGUAAUGCGCCGUGCUCCUGCGCCGGACUCUUCAUCGGAGCGCAGCUGGGAUUCAGCUGGUCGGGAGUGUGGAUCCACGUGGACAUGGCCUCCCCUGCAUACAGUGGGGAGCGCGCCACAGGCUACGGGGUGGCUCUGCUCCUGGCGUUGUUCGGACGCUCCACGGACGACGCCCUCCUGCAGCUCAUUUCCCCAGCCGGGCCGGAGAGACACGGUGGGGCGAGCGAGGUGGCGAAGGGUGCUCCCAAGAGGAGGAAGCUCAUCUGACCGCACGGGUCAUAACGCGGCGCUCGACAGGUUACAGGGGUGACACACCUUUCACGAGGAAAUGCUGGAGCUGCACUUGCAUCCAGUUGAAGAGCUUUAAAAUGUUUUUUUUUUUUUUUUUUUUUUUAAAAGGUGAUACUUGAAUGUUAGUGUCUUUGUGGUUAAUCUCCUGACCGCACACGGUUACUGAACAGGCUAGUGGUCGACCACGUUAAAAUAAAUACCAUCCAGCCAUCACAUGUCCAAUGUCUUUAUUUGGAGACCAUCGAACCACAAUUACACCACGUAACCUUUAAACAUAAAAGUACACAGUUAAAUCUGUUUAUAUUUCCUUGCUUUAAAAAAAAUUUAAAUGGACACUUUCAAUAGUGAUUAUUUUUUGCAGUACUUGUAAUGCAUAGUUUCACUUUCCCAGUUUCUUAUGUAUUACCUUAUUUGUUCUGUUUCACUUUAUAUAUUUUUUUUAGGAACAUUAAAAACCGUCAUAUAUAAUCAAAAUGCAGCUCUGUUCAUUAAUACAAGUUGACGUUAUGCCUCUAGAUGUUAGUCGGCACAGCCGGUGGAGGUGGGUUCAAAUUCCGCUCUGUGUGGAGUGUGUGUGUAUGUAUAGAUGUACGAAGGGGUGGAGCCAGUUUACAGGAAUGUAUCCAGCACUGUAAGUCACCUGGGUUUAGAUAAAUACCCAUGUGUGUCGUUGUGUAACCGAGGCCUUUGUCACCGGUCACUAAGCGUGAAAGGUUUGCGCAAUAAGUGCCUUUUAUUGCCAAAAUACUGUGAUUGAGGGUAAGAACGUCAGGCUACCGCAGUGGGCUUUGAACAGGGUGCUUUCCGAUUGCAGGGUAACGGUUCGACAGUCCCCAGCAGUGCUUUUUAGGAGUCACACUAGGAUAAAAGGCAAAGCAGUAAAAACAGGGUGCACGAAACAGUAGAGGACAACUGGGACCUGCUGCUGAAGUCCUCCGGGGCUCAGAUACAGUAGGGGGGGAGGGUGGGAAGGAAACAAAAAAAGGAUCAAGUCUCUCCUUUGUGAGAUGAUUAACUUUUCCUGAGAAACAUGUGUCCUCAAUUUCAGCACCGUGGACAAAACACGGUGAAAGGGCGUCCUCGUCUGUCCACAGUGUUUACAACGCUUUGUGCACAGGAGGGACGCAACGUACGUACGUGUGUGUGUGUGUGUGUGUCGCUGUUCUCCCUCUCCAAGCGUCUCUGCCCCCGUGCAGUGCGACAGUUCAAGUUUACGGGCGAAGGUUUGCGGUUUCUUUCCCGAAAAGUUCCGCGCCGCGUGUCGCUGUGCUCAGCAACACACCCCCCGAAAGCCGCUGGAGGAAGGUGCUGUCGCGACAGCAGUUACCCGUCUCACCGCUUGACCGCU